rnacentral:misc_RNA from 1 species
GUAUUUAAUGCGUUAUACGCGGUAUGACAUUCUUUAACUGAAGCGUUUGUAAUAACAUAAGCAAGGCUUUCAAACCAACCGAAGUCAGCUAUCCGACCAUAGCCUACAGUAAGUGCACAGGGGUGUGAGAGUGGAAUUGAGCAGGGUGUGCACAUGCCUUUGUUUUUGGCCAGCUACAACCCCUUUCAAAAACUCGUUAAUGAUCCUUCCGCAGGUUCACCUACGGAAA